rnacentral:rRNA from 1 species
UACGAGGGGGGGCGAGCGUUGUUCGGAAUUAUUGGGCGUAAAGGGUGCGUAGGCGGUUUGGUAAGUCUCGUGUGAAAUCUCCGGGCUCAACUCGGAGCCUGCACGAGAAACUGCCGGGCUUGAGUGUGGGAGAGGUGAGUGGAAUUCCUGGUGUAGCGGUGAAAUGCGUAGAUAUCAGGGAGGAACACCUGUGGCGAAAGCGGCUCACUGGACCAUAACUGACGCUGAUGCACGAAAGCUGGGGGAGCAAACAGG